rnacentral:rRNA from 1 species
GUGCCAGCAGCUGCGGUAAUACGGAGGGUGCAAGCGUUAAUCGGAAUUACUGGGCGUAAAGCACACGCAGGCGGUUUGUUAAGUCAGAUGUGAAAUCCCCGGGCUCAACCUGGGAACUGCAUCUGAUACUGGCAAGCUUGAGUCUCGUAGAGGGGGGUAGAAUUCCAGGUGUAGCGGUGAAAUGCGUAGAGAUCUGGAGGAAUACCGGUGGCGAAGGCGGCCCCCUGGACGAAGACUGACGCUCAGGUGCGAAAGCGUGGGGAGCAAACAGGAUUAGAUACCCUGGUAGUCCACGCCGUAAACGAUGUCGACUUGGAGGUUGUGCCCUUGAGGCGUGGCUUCCGGAGCUAACGCGUUAAGUCGACCGCCUGGGGAGUACGGCCGCAAGGUUAAAACUCAAAUGAAUUGACGGGGGCCCGCACAAGCGGUGGAGCAUGUGGUUUAAUUCGAUGCAACGCGAAGAACCUUACCUGGUCUUGACAUCCACGGUAAGUUUUCAGAGAUGAGAAUGUGCCUUCGGGAACCGUGAGACAGGU